CGAAGGGGGCUAGCGUUGUUCGGAAUUACUGGGCGUAAAGCGCGCGUAGGCGGUGAUCUUUGUCAGAGGUGAAAGCCCGGGGCUCAACUCCGGAAUUGCCUUUGAAACGGGAUCGCUAGAGUCCGAGAGAGGAUGGCGGAAUUCCUAGUGUAGAGGUGAAAUUCGUAGAUAUUAGGAAGAACACCGGUGGCGAAGGCGGCCAUCUGGCUCGGUACUGACGCUCAGGCGCGAAAGCGUGGGGAGCAAACAGGAUUAGAUACCCUGGUAGUCCACGCCGUAAACGAUGAGUGCUAGUUGUUAGGAAGUUUACUUCUUAGUGACGCAGCUAACGCGUUAAGCACUCCGCCUGGGGAGUACGGUCGCAAGAUUA
rnacentral:rRNA from 1 species